AGCGCAGGCGGGAAGACAAGUUGGAAGUGAAAACCAUGGGCUCAACCCAUGAAUUGCUUUCAAAACUGUUUUUCUCGAGUAGUGCAGAGGUAGAUGGAAUUCCCGGUGUAGCGGUGGAAUGCGUAGAUAUCGGGAGGAACACCAGUGGCGAAGGCGGUCUACUGGGCACCAACUGACGCUGAGGCUCGAAAGCAUGGGUAGCAAACA
rnacentral:rRNA from 1 species